rnacentral:rRNA from 1 species
AGGACGAACGCUGGCGGCGUGCUUAACACAUGCAAGUCGAGCGGUGAUCCUCCUUCGGGAGGUGAUCAGCGGCGAACGGGUGAGUAACACGUGGACAACCUGCCCCUCACACUGGGAUAACCUCGGGAAACCGGGGCUAAUACCGGAUACGACCUCGAGCGGCAUCUCUUGAGGUGGAAAGCUCCGACGGUGAGGGAUGGGCCCGCGGCCUAUCAGCUUGUUGGUGGGGUAAUGGCCUACCAAGUCGACGACGGGUAGCCGGCCUGAGAGGGCGACCGGCCACACUGGGACUGAGACACGGCCCAGACUCCUACGGGAGGCAGCAGUGGGGAAUAUUGCGCAAUGGGCGAAAGCCUGACGCAGCGACGCCGCGUGAGGGAUGAAGGCCUUCGGGUUGUAAACCGUCUUUCAGCAGGGACGAAGCGAAAGUGACGGUACCUGCAGAAGAAGCACCGGCUAACUACGUGCCAGCAGCCGCGGUAA